CCUACGGGAGGCAGCAGUGAGGAAUAUUGGUCAAUGGACGAGAGUCUGAACCAGCCAAGUAGCGUGAAGGAUGACUGCCCUAUGGGUUGUAAACUUCUUUUAUAUGGGAAUAAAAUAUUCCACGUGAGGGAUUUUGUAUGUACCAUAUGAAUAAGGAUCGGCUAACUCCGUGCCAGCAGCCGCGGUCAUACGGAGGAUCCGAGCGUUAGCCGGAUUUCUUGGGUUUAAAGGGAGCGUAGGUGGAUUGUUAAGUCAGUUGUGAAAGUUUGCGGCUCAACCGUAAAAUUGCAGUUGAAACUGGCAGGCAUGAGUACAGUAGAGCUGGGCGGAAUUCGUGGUGUAGAGGUGACAUGCUUAGAUAUCACGAAGAACUCCGAUUGCGAAGGCAGUUCACUGGACUGCAACUGACACUGAGGCUCGAAAGUGUGGGUAUCAAACAGGAUUAGAUACCCGAGUAGUC
rnacentral:rRNA from 1 species